rnacentral:sRNA from 1 species
GCGGACAACGGUGACCAGACCUACUCCAGCCACGCGGGUGAGCGGCUGUCUGGAUGUCGGCGAAGCCGCGGGCGAGCCGCGGUGGAAGAUGGGGCCAAGGGAAAGUCCAGAGCCUGGGCCAUCUCCGGCCUCACUCACCCUCCUCCCUCACCUGGUCCCUGGGCUGAGAAUCAUGGCCCGGCCUGAGAACCCCCAAGGCAGCACGCAGAGGCCGGGUCUUCACCGAGCCCUGACACUGACAGGCUGUGUGACGACAGCUGACAACUAACCCUCUCUCGUUUUACUUUCUAUCACUCCUUUAAAGGCAGAGCAGUGGGCACAGGUGCCAUGGCGGGAAGCAGGCCUUUCUGAAUUCUUAGCAGCGAUCUCCAAGGGCACUGUAACCUUGCAAGAAAGAGGCUGCCAGUCUUGCAUCAGAUACAGAAACCAGGGCGCAGAGUAGGAGCUAGAGCAUCUUGGAUGGAGAAACCUCGGCAAAGACAAAGGCCCAUUGUCCCCCUUCCCUGGCCUU